rnacentral:rRNA from 1 species
CUUGAUUGAUGACGUACUGUGUACUGAUUGAGAUUUUAUCACGAAGUGAGUGGCGAACGGGUGAGUAACACGUGGGUACCGUGCCCAGAAGUAGGGGAUAACUCCUGGAAACAGAUGCUAAUACCGUAUAACAUAGAAAACCGCGUGGUUUUCUUUUAAAAUAUGGUUCUGCUAUCACUUCUGGAGGGACCCGCGGCGUAUUACCUGUUUGGUGAGGUAAAGGCUCACCAAGGCAGUGAUACGUAGCCGACCUGAAAGGGGAAUCGGCCACAUUGGGACUGAAACACGGCCCAAACUCCUACGGGAGGCAGCAGUAGGGAAUCUUCCACAAUGGACGCAAGUCUGAUGGAGCAACGCCGCGUGAGUGAAGAAGGGUUUCGGCUCGUAAAGCUCUGUUGUUAAAGAAGAACGUGGGUAAGAGUAACUGUUUACCCAGUGACGGUAUUUAACCAGAAAGCCACGGCUAACUACGUGCCAGCAGCCGCGGUAAUACGUAGGUGGCAAGCGUUAUCCGGAUUUAUUGGGCGUAAAGCGAGCGCAGGGGGUCUUUUAAGUCUAAUGUGAAAGCCUUUGGUUCAACCGAAGAAGUGUAUUGGAAAUUGGGAGAUUUGAGUGGAGAAGAGGAAAGUGGAAUUUUAUGUGGUAGGGGGU